rnacentral:rRNA from 1 species
UACAGAGGUGUCGAGCGUUAUUCGGAAUUAUUGGGCGUAAAGGGCGCGUAGGCGGCUUGCCAAGUCCGGGGUGAAAUCCCUCGGCUCAACCGAGGAACUGCCUUGGAAACUGUCUGGCUUGAGGCCGGGAGAGGGUAGUGGAAUUCCCAGUGUAGCGGUGAAAUGCGUAGAUACUGGGAGGAACACCGGUGGCGAAGGCGGCUACCUGGACCGGUUCUGACGCUGAGGCGCGAAAGCGUGGGUAGCAAACAGG